UCAGGUUAUGGAGUUAUUGCCACCAAAAACAUUGAGCCAGGAGAAUUCUUGCUGGAGUAUGUUGGAAGACAUAUCUCUGGCUCUGAAGGAGAGGACCUGGUUAAAGAGUACUCAGCUGAAAAUGCAGCAUUUUUAUAUUUCUACAACUUCCAAGGACAAAACUUCUGCAUUGAUGGCAGUAAAGAUACAGCAAGACUUGGAAGAUUCAUAAAUGAUGAUCACAUCAAGCCAAACAGCAAAAUUAAAAUUAUAUUGGAUAAGCAACAAAGACCACAUCUGUGUAUAUUUGCAAUCA